GUGCCAACCUUACGGCUCUGAAGGUCUCUGAACCCUGUGCUGGAAGCUUCUCAAACAAGAUCCCCUACAACUCUUUUUAAUCUGAUAAAACAACUACAGAGAGGAAUCUUGAUCUGCCCAGAAAAGCUUUAGAAGCUGCCUCAGAAAGAAACUUCGAACUGAAGGGAUACGCCUUCGGGGCAGCCAAGGAACAGCAGAGAUGUCCCCAGAUCGUGCGCGUGGGGCUCGUUCAGAACAGAAUCCCGCUCCCCACUUCCCACGAAGGUCGAGCGGGAGGGGGGAAAAUAUUUACCAGAUGAGAUUAGAUAGGACUUAAAUACUUUCGUUAUUGUCGGGUUCACUUCCAUUCAAGUUUGUAGGUUCCGAGCUACGAGGGCAUCCUUCCCGGCUUCACUGGUGACAGGCUGCAGCCUGGGGAGGGAUGGUUCGAAGUGACUUCAUGGAAAAUCUGGCAAAUGUCAGAGCUACCACUCCGGGGUGAGGACUAUUUAUCUGCCCUAGACCUUUGCCCUUCCCACUUGCCGUAAUUCAGGGCAAGUUUCAACACAUAGUCUGUCUCAUAGCGUACAGAUUGGUUUCUUUUUUUUCCAGCUAAAAUCUUGUUGUAUGUGAGAUCUGAUCCCAAUUAUAUAAACUGUCCAGAAUAUU
rnacentral:lncRNA from 1 species